rnacentral:rRNA from 1 species
CGAGCGGACAGAAGGGAGCUUGCUCCCGGAUGUUAGCGGCGGACGGGUGAGUAACACGUGGGUAACCUGCCUGUAAGACUGGGAUAACUCCGGGAAACCGGAGCUAAUACCGGAUAGUUCCUUGAACCGCAUGGUUCAAGGAUGAAAGACGGUUUCGGCUGUCACUUACAGAUGGACCCGCGGCGCAUUAGCUAGUUGGUGAGGUAACGGCUCACCAAGGCGACGAUGCGUAGCCGACCUGAGAGGGUGAUCGGCCACACUGGGACUGAGACACGGCCCAGACUCCUACGGGAGGCAGCAGUAGGGAAUCUUCCGCAAUGGACGAAAGUCUGACGGAGCAACGCCGCGUGAGUGAUGAAGGUUUUCGGAUCGUAAAGCUCUGUUGUUAGGGAAGAACAAGUGCAAGAGUAACUGCUUGCACCUUGACGGUACCUAACCAGAAAGCCACGGCUAACUACGUGCCAGCAGCCGCGGUAAUACGUAGGUGGCAAGCGUUGUCCGGAAUUAUUGGGCGUAAAGGGCUCGCAGGCGGUUUCUUAAGUCUGAUGUGAAAGCCCCCGGCUCAACCGGGGAGGGUCAUUGGAAACUGGGAAACUUGAGUGCAGAAGAGGAGAGUGGAAUUCCACGUGUAGCGGUGAAAUGCGUAGAGAUGUGGAGGAACACCAGUGGCGAAGGCGACUCUCUGGUCUGUAACUGACGCUGAGGAGCGAAAGCGUGGGGAGCG